CCAGACUGCAAAGCUAUGGAGAGCCUCCGCUGCUCGGCGCUUGCAGGAGGAGCCGAAAACGCAGGAUCAGGCCCUGAAAAAUAAAAGAAAAAAAGAUUUGUUUAAAAAAUAUCCAGCGGGAUUUGGAUGUGCUGAGUUAGGCAGGGAACGCCGGGGUUUCUGGGGGGGAGCCCUUUGUGCAGCGCUGUCCCCCAGGAACCCGAGCCAAAGCCGAGCUCCUGGCUUUGGAGGGUCAGAAUCGGGCCCUUCGCCACGGGCGCAGACGACUGCAAAUGCAAAACCAGCGAUGACGAAAGCUGCGUUGUCGCCUACAGCUCUCAGGAAUUUUCCUGCUACGAGAUCUUGCCGAGUUGCAGGCACUUUCGGGUGUCGCGUGGAGAUCCAGCGGUGCCGUGGCGGAUUUGACCGGGGCGCUGGCAUUAUUUACCUGCCCUAUUUACAGAGCUCAGAGCUACGUGAGCGGCUGUCUCCCCUUUUCACACGCGUUUCACCCAUAUCCGAAAUCUGACAUCCAUGGUUACAGAAAACCUCAGAUUUCAUCGCUGGAACAAUUGGUGUCCUUGUGUCCCACCUGGCUGCACAUGAAAGGCCCAAGAUGAGCAGAAUGCAUACAAAAAAGUUGGAUUUAAAAAUACUCAAAAAAAAAAAAAAAAAAAAAA